rnacentral:misc_RNA from 1 species
UCGGUUGUAAGAACAUAGUCG